UACGUAGGGUGCGAGCGUUGUCCGGAAUUAUUGGGCGUAAAGAGCUCGUAGGCGGUUUGUCGCGUCGACUGUGAAAACCCGAGGCUUAACCUCGGGCCUGCAGUCGAUACGGGCAGACUAGAGUUCGGUAGGGGAGACUGGAAUUCCUGGUGUAGCGGUGAAAUGCGCAGAUAUCAGGAGGAACACCGGUGGCGAAGGCGGGUCUCUGGGCCGAUACUGACGCUGAGGCGCGAAAGCUAGGGUAGCAAACGGG
rnacentral:rRNA from 1 species